GGAUACCUCAGUAGAAGAUAUUGGUGGUCGUUCAUGUGUCACUCGCUUUGUGAGAACCCUGUUAUUAAUUAUGGAACAUGGUGUAAAACCUCACAGUAAACAUCUUACAGAGUAUUUUGCCUUCCUUUACGAAUUUGCAAAAAUGGGUGAAGAAGAGAGCCAAUUUUUGCUUUCAUUGCAAGCUAUAUCUACAAUGGUACAUUUUUACAUGGGAACAAAAGGACCUGAAAAUCCUCAAGUUGAAGUGUUAUCAGAGGAAGAAGGGGAAGAAGAAGAGGAGGAAGAAGAUAUCCUCUCUCUGGCAGAAGAAAAAUACAGGCCAGCUGCCCUUGAAAAGAUGAUAGCUUUAGUUGCUCUUUUGGUUGAACAGUCUCGAUCAGAAAGGUGAAAUGUUUCGAAUUUAAAAUGUUUAAAGCAUGUUUGGUUUUAUUAUUUUUACAUAAUUGUUUACCACUAGUUUUUCCACUAGCUUUUUAUUAUAUAUGUUUAAUUAUGUAAUUGUUAUUCACUAGCUUUUAUUAUAUAAAUCCUUUUAAAUAAUACUACUAUUCAUCAACUCUUGUGGCAUAAGAAUUUCAGUUUUUUCUACCAAACUUUUACUUCAUCUAUGAGUCGUGUUAGAAAUAGUCAUUGAAAAAAUAUACAGUAAAAUAUCUA
rnacentral:lncRNA from 1 species